UGCGUAGGGGGCAAGCGUUGUCCGGAUUUAUUGGGCGUAAAGAGCGUGUAGGCGGCCAGACAGGUCAGCUGUGAAAACUCGAGGCUCAACCUCGAGACGUCGGUUGAAACCGUCUGGCUAGAGUCCGGAAGAGGAGAGUGGAAUUCCCGGUGUAGCGGUGAAAUGCGCAGAUAUCGGGAAGAACACCCGUGGCGAAGGCGGCUCUCUGGGACGGUACUGACGCUGAGACGCGAAAGCGUGGGGAGCAAACAGG
rnacentral:rRNA from 1 species